rnacentral:rRNA from 1 species
UACGGGGGGAGCAAGCGUUGUUCGGAUUUACUGGGCGUAAAGGGCGCGUAGGCGGCCAGCACAAGUCGGUUGUGAAAUCUCCGAGCUUAACUCGGAACUGUCAGCUGAUACUGAUGUGCUAGAGUGCAGAAGGGGCAAUCGGAAUUCUUGGUGUAGCGGUGAAAUGCGUAGAUAUCAAGAGGAACACCUGAGGUGAAGACGGGUUGCUGGGCUGACACUGACGCUGAUAGCGCGAAAGCCAGGGGAGCAAACGGG